rnacentral:rRNA from 1 species
AGAGCGAACGCUGGCGGCAGGCCUAACACAUGCAAGUCGAGCGCCCGUAGCAAUACGGGAGCGGCAGACGGGAUAGUAACACGUGGGAACGCGCCCUUCGGUUCGGAAUAACUCAGGGAAACUUGAGCUAAUACCGGAUACGCCCUUACGGGGAAAGAUUUAUUGCCGAAGGAACGGCCCGCGUCCGAUUAGCUAGUUGGUGAGGUAAUGGCUCACCAAGGCGACGAUCGGUAGCUGGUCUGAGAGGAUGACCAGCAUCACUGGGACUGAGACACGGCCCAGACUCCUACGGGAGGCGGCAGGUGGGGAAUAUUGGACAAUGGGCGCAAGCCUGAUCCAGCCAUGCCGCGUGGAUGAUGAAGGCCUUAGGGUUGUAAAGUCCUUUUAACGGGGAAGAUAAUGACGGUACCGUAGAAUAAGCCCCGGCUAACUUCGCGCCAGCAGCCGC